rnacentral:rRNA from 1 species
UGGUGGAGUGAUUUGUCUGGUUAAUUCCGUUAACGAACGAGACCACCGCGUGCUAAAUAGUCAUGACUAGUCUUUGACUAGCCUAUGACUUCUUAGAGGGACUGAUGGCGACUAGUCAUCGGAAGUUGGUGGCAAUAACA